GAAGCCCAGGUAAACGGCGGCCGUAACAAUAACGGUCCUAAGGUAGCGAAAUUCCUUGUCGGGUAAGUUCCGACCUGCACGAAUGGCGUAACGACUUCCCCACUGUCUCCAGCAUAGGCUCAGUGAAAUUGAAUUCCCCGUGAAGAUGCGGGGUUCCCGCGGUCAGACGGAAAGACCCUAUGAACCUUUACUAUAGCUUCGCCUUGGCGUUAGCGACCGUAUGUGUAGGAUAGGUGGGAGACUAUGAAACCGGGGCGCCAGCUCUGGUGGAGUCGUCCUUGAAAUACCACCCUUACUGUCGUUGACGUCUAACCGAGGGCCGUUAUCCGGUCCCGGGACAUGGCGUGGUGGGUAGUUUGACUGGGGCGGUCGCCUCCUAAAGAGUAACGGAGGCGCGCGAUGGUAGGCUCAGGACGGUUGGAAACCGUCUGCGAGAGUGCAAUGGCAUAAGCCUGCCUGACUGCGAGACUGACGAGUCGAGCAGAGACGAAAGUCGGUCAUAGUGAUCCGGUGGUCCCGAGUGGAAGGGCCAUCGCUCAACGGAUAAAAGGUAC
rnacentral:rRNA from 1 species